rnacentral:rRNA from 1 species
UGAGCUAAUACCGCAUAAUGCAGCGGCUCGACAUCGAGACAGUUGUUAAAGCGGGGGCUCUCGCAAGAGACCUCGCGCCUAAAGAGGAGCCUGCGGCAGAUUAGCUAGUUGGUAAGGUAAUGGCUUACCAAGGCGACGAUCUGUAACCGGCCUGAGAGGGCGGUCGGUCACACUGACACUGACAUACGGGUCAGACUCCUACGGGAGGCAGCAGUCGGGAAUUUUGGGCAAUGGGCGAAAGCCUGACCCAGCAACGCCGCGUGAAGGAUGAAAUCCCUCGGGAUGUAAACUUCGCAAGAAUGGGAAGAAUAAGUAGGGGACAAUACCCCCUAUGAUGACGGUACUAUUUGUAAGCUCCGGCUAACUCCGUGCCAGCAGCCGCGGUAAUACGGGGGGAGCAAGCGUUGUUCGGAUUUACUGGGCGUAAAGGGCGCGUAGGCGGCCACGACAAGUCACUUGUGAAAUCUCCGGGCUUAACUCGGAGCGGUCAAGUGAUACUGUCGGGCUAGAGUGCAGAAGGGGCAACUGGAAUUCUCGGUGUAGCGGUGAAGUGCGUAGAUAUCGAGAGGAACACCUGCGGCGAAGGCGGGUUGCUGGGCUGACACUGACGCUGAGGCGCGAAAGCCAGGGGAGCGA